CGGGUGAGUAACGCGUGGGUAACCUGCCUUGUACUGGGGGACGAACAGUUGGAAACGACUGCUAAUACCGCAUAAGCGCACAGCUUCGCAUGAAGCAGUGCGAAAAACUCCGGUGGUACAAGAUGGACCCGCGUCUGAUUAGCUGGUUGGUGAGGUAACGGCCCACCAAGGCGACGAUCAGUAGCCGGCCUGAGAGGGUGAACGGCCACAUUGGGACUGAGACACGGCCCAA
rnacentral:rRNA from 1 species